UAAGUAAGCGGAGGACAAGAAACUAAACAGGAUUCCCUUAGUAAUGGCGAAUGAACAGGGAUGAGCUCAGCAUGGAAAUCGGGGUCUCCCGACCUUGAAUUGUAGUCUGUAGAUGUACUGCCAACGGAGGCGCAGAUGUAAGCCUCUUGGAAAAGAGCAUCAACGAGGGUGAGAGUCCCGUUUGUCAUCUGCAGUCCCCCGUGCACGGUGUGCCUUCUAAGAGUCACGUUCCUCGGGAUUGGAGCGCAAAGUGGGUGGUAAAUUUCAUCUAAAGCUAAAUAUUGGUUCG
rnacentral:rRNA from 1 species